GAGGGUGGGGCUGUCGCGCCAGGUCAGGCAACGCCGGAGGCCCGGGAUUCCAGGGAUCCCGCAGGUCCUCCAGGCUUGGCCUGAGCGGCUUCCUCCAUAUACGCUCCCCUCCUACACAAGUCCGGCCCUCGGCGCUCCUGCCGAAGCAGCAGGCGCCUCGGACUCUGCGCGAGGCCCGCCGGCCGCUCACCUAUGAUGGUCCGCGCCGCCGAGACGAUGACCACGGGAUCUGAGCCUGCAUUCAUCCUGCCCACGACCGCUUCUCCUGCCGCCGUCUGCCCUGCGCUGCCUGCAAGUUAGGCAAGGCUCCUCCUCGCAGCCCACAGGCCGCGCCACGGGCGGGACCUGAGCCCAGGACUGGAAUCCCACGGGCGAGAAUCUCGAGUGAGAGCCUGGCCCGCCGCGGGUCUCAGCACAACUCUAAUGGGUCGUUUUGCUCUCGGCUGCUUCGGGAGGUCCUAUGCGUUUCGCCUGGCGCCAGUCAUUCGCUCGCGUGCAGGGCUUGCUGGGCGCGUCGGUGCGAGCCCCCGUGGGGCUGGCGCCCCCUGGCCUUCCAAGAUCAACUCUGGCGGUGAAGGGGUGAGGACGCCGGCGGCGUCUUAACGUCCCACAGUGAAAAGUUACCUUGGUUGACGUUUGGACAGUGAAAGGAGCAUAUAACAAGUGGGGUCAGUUUUGUUUAAAACCCUUGCUGACUUCCCAGCCUCUUACUGGGCAAAGUUCAUAAUUUUUCUGAGCUUUCUAGGGUUUCUAGGCAAGCUUAUGCGGGCCACCAUUACAGCAACUUGUUGGGAACACCUGGAUAGUGGAACAAGAAAACUUGGUCACAAAGUCAUGAAGGGGAAAACUGUUGACGGACCUGGAGAAUCUUCCUGAAGAACUUUAAAGUAGAUUGAAAGAAUCAUUAAAUCCUGGUAACCUA